CAGGCAUUCAGCAAACAAUAACUGAGCAUCCACUCUGAGCUGUACCAGGGAUGGGGCUCAGAAUGUUCUAGGAAGCAUCCCUCCUUCACCUCUACAAGAAACCACACACCCAUAACCCCAGCCAGGGGAGGAACACAGAGCAGGGCACUGCGCCAUCCUCCGGUGGGGCUGGAGAGGGCUUCCUGGAGGAAGUGACCUUUCAGCUGUCACUGAGUGGGAAUUAGACACAUUCAGGGAGUGGGCAGGGUGCAGAAUGGGCUCCCAGGCCUUAUAGCAGGUACACAGGUAGGUCCAGAGGCGUAUAAAGCAUGGAGCAUUUAGGAACAGACAGUGAGGGAAGGGGCACAGGGGCUGGGCCCAAGGUCAGUAGGGCUGAGUGGGAUGGGCUUACGAACAGAACUGGGGCAGGGCAGGACGUGCACAGGGAGACGUGAGCAGAUUUGUAUUUUGGACCGAUUACUCCUCAGAGGGAGAUCAAAGCUCUUGCUCUUUAAUCCUCCCUCCCCAAGGGCCCAGAGCAGCUCUGGCCUCAGUUCCAGGCCAUGUCUUGGCAGAAGUAGUUGCCCUCACUGACCUACAGGCAAAAAUCCACAUUCCUUCCAAGCAGAACUGGCAACCCUUCGGGAUCCCUGACCAACCCCCAUGCAACGCAGCCUUGUCCACAACUCUGCUGUUUUCUCCGCAGGAGGAUGGAGAAGGGCUUGCCUCCCAGCUGAGGGUAUCCUGGAGGGCUUUGGGAGGAGCUGACAGUGGAGCUACGUGUUGAAGGCCCACCCUCACCUUACAGCACCCCCAGCCUGCAGAGUCAGAGACAAGAAAGCAGAACAAGGCGGUUCCUCCUCCUUCCUCCCCACACACCCACGCCUGCCACCUGGCCAAGGAGACGCCUCUCAAAGACACUGGUGCCUUGGAUGUGCAAAGAGGAACUGCCUGUGAGUGCGAAGAUCUUGCAGCCCCAGACUUCUCUCAAUGAGGCUGAGCUGGAUCAGGAUGACACUGAUGCUGCUGGUCGGGGGACCACACCUCGAGACCCACUGACACUAUCUUGGAUCCUCCUACAAGCCCAAGAGGUGCCUGUUUGGGUCAUCCCAUUGUACAGGUGAAGAGGCUAAGGACUGGAGGGGAGGGGCCUUGCUCAGGGCCCAGGAAGCCAGAGAACAAACAUCCGGAGUCUCUGGAAUCUCUCCUACUUUCCUUCCUCACAUCCCGAGGAUCUGGGAGCCAGCAUGAGCAUGCACACAGCGUGCGCACACACACACACACAC
rnacentral:lncRNA from 1 species